GGGGUACAUGAGAAACAAGAGAACAAUUGGAUACAUAGUUCUUUUGCACACACUUCUAAAAUAUUUCCUUUAGGGAUAAAAAUGGAGCCCAGGUGGUAAAGUGCUUGCUUAGAAGCAAGCAGAAGAUGUGUGGCAUUCUUCGUUUGUUCCCGAGCACCAAAGAGACCAAAUGAUGGAGGAACAUCUGUAAUCCCAGCCCUUGGAGGGCUGGCAGUUCAAUACAACCUUUGGCUCCAUAGUGAGUUGGAGGCUAGCCCGAGAUAAGAGACCCUGUCUACAGCAACCCCCCUGCAGCCUCAGAAUGUAGCGUUUUGAAUGAGAAUGGCCCGCAUGGGCUCACAUACUUGAGUGUUUGGUACCCAGUUGGUGAGCUGGUUAGCAAGGAUUAGGAGGUGUGGCCUUGUUGGAGGAGGUGUAUCCUUGGAGGUGGGCUUUGAGGUACAAGGACAACACCAGGCCCUGUGUGUCUCCUUCUGUGCCUCCACUUUUCAGGUCAGAUGUAAAGUCUCAGCUACUGCUGCAGCGCCAUGCCCGCCUGCCUGCCUGCUAUGCUUCCCACCAUGAUGGUCGUAGACUCAGCCUCUAAAACGGGAUGGAAGCAUCCAUUUGUACAAACGACGUCCCUCCAAAGGUGAGCAGAAGAACAACUGUGACCCAUCCACACACAGAGUACUAAUCCCCAGAGUGAAGGAAUUGAGGAGCGUGAACCCCCAAGUCACACCCAACACGGGGGCUAAAUCACAGGGAACCCUGCCGAGGUAAGCAAGCCACACAAAGAGGAAAAGCAGAUCCGAGGGGGAAGCCAUGACUCUAGAGUUUACCAGGAGCAAGACCCAGAGUUCUUUGGUCUCUUGGACUUGCUUGUGAAGUCAACAUGGCUUUAUCUCCUCGCAGCUGAAAGGUAUGCUGCAAAAUUAGCACAGAGAAGAGAAAACAAGCCCAGGAUGGACGUGCAGGNNNNNNNNNNNNNNNNNNNNNNNNNNNNNNNNNNNNNNNNNNNNNNAGCCUCCUGGUUGACUUUUGCCAUUGCUCUGUGAACUCGGCACUACCCGUUUAAUUUGGUGGGUUGAUUUAACCCUGUAGCACAAUAUGACCAAAGAGAUUCCCUUCCCGGUUCAUGACCCUGCUGUUGGAGAGGCAGAAUCUCUACCCGGUAGCCUCUGAGUAAGAAAAGGAAGAGCUGGAGGAGUUGGGGUGAGACAAGGUAGUGGUGGGAACCGGAUCAGCUGGUGGAGUUAGGUUAAGACACAGCCGUGACGGAUCCCAGUCAUCCUUUGAUCAGACCACUGAGUGGAUAGAACUUUAUCCUGACAGAGAAGUAUUUUCUGUAGGAAAAAAAAAAGAUUAAAAACCAUUUCACCUCCAGUCUUUCUUGUGCCCACCCUCUCCCCUAAUACUUUGAAUAGCUACCAGUCUGUGCCACAAGAAGACCAACCUACACGUUAGUUAGAAAUGUGCUUGGUUGUGCAUUUGCACCUCAUUAUGACUCUUCCCUGCUCCCCAAAAAGGACAACUGAAGUCUUUGCUGUGCCCCAGGCACUUAGCAGACAGACAGGUACUCUCUGUAGACAGACACUCUCUGUAGACAGGCACUCUUUACAGACAGGCACUCUGCAGCCAUCAAAACACCUUUUCAGAGAAGCACCUACUCAUUCUUCCUUCAUCAAUGACAAACAAGAGAUGAAGACACACCCUUUUCUGUUCUCUUCUUUUGCCCUCCCACCCUUAUUUAGGAAAAAGGUGGUAUAUGGAGGGAGGGCAACUUGUCUUAUUCCUCACUUGUAUGCAGCGCUUGCUCAGGAAAUAUGACCAAGCAUCUUGUCAUCUUUAUCAUGAUCUAUUAACUGUCUUACAGCUGACUCUUCAGAGACCGUCAUGCUUAUGAAGAUAAGAUGGUACCUGUGUGCAGUCUCUCAUCAUGAGAUUUAAUGGCCAAGUCACCUACUUCCUGAUUCGCAGAGCUGGGAAUAAAAACACGGAGAGGCCAUUGGUUAAAGACGUCAUUGGCAGAGCAAGCUGAAUGCUCUGCUUCCUUCAGCGUUGGCCUGUGACCAAGCAACAGGCUCAGGGCAUGAGCCUGAACUUCAGGCUGUAUAUAGGCAAACUGUGAUGGGCACAGAGAGCCAGGCUGAAAACAGAGGUAGGUUGAGGUAGUCAAGUCUAGCUACUGUUGGAUUAGUAGCAACUCAAAGAUGUUACCUUCCUUCAUCAUUGACAAUCAUCCUUUGCAUGUUAGAUACAGCACUUGACAUCUGAGAGGAUACAAUCCACAGGGCAUUCUAACACACUGAGUGCAGGACAAAAGGUAAGGUAGGAAUAAUUGUGANUUCUGCAUAAGCAUCAAGUCACUGAAGACCAAUGUAGGGAAUCAUCACCAAAAUGGCACAGGAAAGAGGAUGAUGGGAAAUCUGCAGGACUGGCAGUGUCACGGGUUAUGAAGGGCAAUGCCUUUCUUAAAAAAAAUAUUUGGCAAGAAGCAAGUGGUAAGGAUGGCAGUGAGGGGCACCGUGCAAGUCAGUGAGGGGCACCAUGGCUCUUAACAGUAGAAAGGGGAGGUGGAUGCUUAUAUCCUGGUGACAGGAAGCAGGGCACGGCCAGAACCCAGGCAACUCUCUUACCUUCCGACAUGCCACUACCUUACCACUGGACCUCAUGUNCAAAGAAUUCCACAACCUCCAGGAAUAUGGGUUUAAGUGCACGAGCCCAUACGGGGCAUCUCACAUUCCUGCCACAGCAGUUAGAUGGAAAAGAUUGGUUCAGAGUCGAGNAAAGCCACACAGAAAUACUAAUGCAGCACAAUGGGGCAGCAGUCUUCUAGUGAGUGAAGAACUCGAUAAGGAAGAGACCUGAAGGCCGGGGAGAUAGUUCAGUUGAUGAACUGCUUGCUUUGCAAGCACAGGGAUAUAUGCUUGAUCCUCAGAACCCAUGUAAACAGGUCAGGACAUGAUGCACAUUUGUGACCAGUUCUGGGGAGGGAAAGAAAAGAGCCCCAAGGCUUGCUGAGUAGCUAGCUUAGCCGACUUAGUUCCAGGCCACGGCUUUGUCUAAAAACCAAAACAAACAAAGCAAAAAUAUCAGCCAGCCAAGCAAACCACNCAGGUAGGUGGUACCUGAGACAUGACCCUGAGUUUGCCUUCUGGCUUCUAUAUGUAUGCAUANNGAUGGACUAUAACCUGAGCNUUUGGGUCAUGCAGCGCUGUCACAGGUGUGAAGAGGGUUGAAGGAUGCAUAGUGAGACAGUAAAGAGCCACAGACAGAUGCAGAGCCAGAUGAAAUGGCCUCUGAAGCCAGUUGUUCUCAGCGACUGCAUGUGGCAUGAAUUAGCACAGAAGCUAAGCAAAACCAAACCAACUCGGAGGGCAGGGGGAGGCAGCAAGACAGAACUGAUAACUGAGCACUGAGAACCUUAAAAAGUGAGCCACCGUGGAUGCUUUUGUGGUGCCUGGAACAAAAGACUCCCACUCGGGAGGCAAGGAAACAUACUAAUUCCCUGAGCUCAGUCACGAAAUACCUGUGGAGCCCUGGGUGGUGGCACAUGCCUUUAAUCCCAGCACUUGGGAGGCAGAGUCAGGUAGAUCUCUGAGUAUGAAGCCAGCUUGGGCUACAUCGUGAGUUCCAAACCUGACAAGCUAUAUAGUGAGAUAGUGAGACCCUUUCUCAAAAAAAAAAAAAAAAAAAAAAAAAAGAUAUAACACAGGUUUGGAGGAGUGAGAUUUAAUGAACUUCUGUUAUUGUUUCUUGGGGGUGGGGUGCUUGAGUCAGAGUACUUAGUUCAAUACCCUCAUUUUUAUCAUUCGGAAAACCAAGGGCCAGAGAGGACGGUGAGGUUGUAUCCCACAGACAUCCACGUGGGCCUGUGAAGUUCUGGUUGGCCUAUACUAUAUUUAGAAAACAGCAAGUAUAGUUGAUGUCUUAGGCACAAUCCUGCAAUGUGACCGUAGGAUGAGUGGAAACAGAACCCUGGGGUUUGACUUUUGGCCUCUGCAUUCUGAUUUCAAAAUCCUGACCUUGCUAACCUCAGUCCCCACAGACCUUGGUGGACAACGAGCUAUAUAGCACUAGGGCCGUCCAAAAGCUAAAAGAGUCCAAGAAAGCCACCUCAUUCCAGAAAGUUGGAAACCACUGUAGGCGAAGGAUAAGCGGGAACCUGCAACAACCCCCGGCUCCAAGAUCUGGGAAGACUCCUGCUAGCUGGAGCCUCUGGCCCCUUUCCAGGACGUCCCACUCUGGUCUUGGCUAUCUGACUUUUGCCCAGAUUCACAUCCUCUUUGAACCCCGUGAUUAUCCAUAAAGCUUCAUCCAGCACCAUGUGUCCGUGCCACAGUUUGUCCCAAUAAAUUGAGAACAAAUUGAGACUCUCGCAUGGACCAUGGAUGCAUUCCAUUUAGCCUCAUUUGAAAUACAUCUUUGGAGCUGUGCUCCACAAAUCUGUCUGACACAAUAAAUAUGUAUGAAGCCCCAGCGGCCUCCUACACCCUGGGAGCGUCCAGCUCUGGGAUGGAUAACAGACAGGGAGAAUUUUAAGUACAUCCUGCUCCACCAAGGCUCAAUUCUCUCCCAUUUCCUUUUCCUUGCUUCUUUGCUCCCUGAUGCUUGGCGUUCUCCUCCCAACCCAGCAGAAAGAUAAUUGCUUGGAGGGCUGAGUCGGGCAGAGCUGUUUUCUUCUUUUCCUUUCCUAGUAGUGUUGCAAAACCUUAAAACUGUAAAGGAAUAACAGCUUCCCCGCAGUGUACAAACACAGCUCUGCUUCGGCAAACAGGAAACCAUCCCAGGGCUGUGGGCUCCUGAGCCAGGAAAUGGGUCUCUGUUGCCCUGGCUACCUUCCCCAGGUCCUUCCUGGACAUUCAAGACAGUUAAAAAUAGUAACCACCGCAACCAGAAGGAAAGAUGAGAUGACUUGUUGUCUAGCCACAGAUUUGGGUGGUUGUAGAGGGAGCUAAGUCUCUGGUCUCAGUAUGGUAAGAAUUCUUACAGGAUUAAGGCUGGUCCCUUUAGUAAAAUUUCAACCCCAAGUAUCUCCGAGGAACCAGCUUAUGCCAGGUAGGAGGUUAAUUAAGCAGGGCUGUUGAGCCGUGCAUGUACACACAUGGGCAUGCAUAUGUGAAUACUAUAGCUAAGAUGAAACCCCAGAGCUCCCAUGGGUGUAGCCUCUGUGCAGAGCAGGUGGCUCAUGGGACCCAAAGACUAAAAGAAAAAAACAAUUUU
rnacentral:lncRNA from 1 species